rnacentral:lncRNA from 1 species
UAUAAUUUAAAGAUAAAUUUUUAAUUUAUAUAUAUAUAUAUAUAUAUAUUUUGAAUGUGAUGUUAUUAGAGAAUUCUUUUAUUUUGCAAAGUUUUAAUUAGCAGAGGCUUAACGAUUUUGUUUUAUUUUUUAAAUUUUAAUGAAUAAAGCGAUGCUGAUAAAGGUUAUUCCCAGAUAUGUUUCUAGCUUACAGUCAGAAGCCAGCUCUUCUUCAAAUCGACUGGAGUAGAGGGAAAAAGACCGACUCUUUACUUUAGCAUCCCGAAGAGUUCCAUUUUUAGACGUAAGGGGUGUUAAUUUGUAAUUUUUAUUAAUCUUAUAGAAGUGGAAUAAAUUCUUCAAUUUUAUGAAAUUUGUCAGUUAUUUCAUUUAACAAGUCUUAAAAUUUUGAAAAUACUCAAACUACAAUUGAAACUUUUAUACCCAAUCUUCUAUAUUUUUUUAUAUUUUUUAUUUUAGGUAAACAUUCUUAAUUUAAUUCCUUUUU